UACGAAGGGGGCUAGCGUUGCUCGGAAUCACUGGGCGUAAAGCGUGCGCAGGCGGUUAUGUAAGACAGUUGUGAAAUCCCCGGGCUCAACCUGGGAACUGCAUCUGUGACUGCAUAGCUAGAGUACGGUAGAGGGGGAUGGAAUUCCGCGUGUAGCAGUGAAAUGCGUAGAUAUGCGGAGGAACACCGAUGGCGAAGGCAAUCCCCUGGACCUGUACUGACGCUCAUGCACGAAAGCGUGGGGAGCAAACAGG
rnacentral:rRNA from 1 species